AGCGAACGCUGGCGGCAGGCCUAACACAUGCAAGUCGAACGAACUCUUCGGAGUUAGUGGCGGACGGGUGAGUAACACGUGGGAACGUGCCUUUAGGUUCGGAAUACCUCAGGGAAACUUGUGCUAAUACCGAAUGUGCCCUUCGGGGGAAAGAUUUAUCGCCUUUAGAGCGGCCCGCGUCUGAUUAGCUAGUUGGUGAGGUAAAGGCUCACCAAGGCGACGAUCAGUAGCUGGUCUGAGAGGAUGAUCAGCCACAUUGGGACUGAGACACGGCCCAAACUCGUACGGGAGGGAGCAGUGGGGAAUCUUGCGCAAGGGGCGAAAGCCUGACGCAGCCAUGCCGCGUGAAUGAUGAAGCUCUUAGGAUUGUAAAAUUCUUUCACCGGGGACGAUAAUGACGGUACCCGGAGAAGAAGCCCCGGCUAACUUCGUG
rnacentral:rRNA from 1 species